rnacentral:rRNA from 1 species
GCGCAUGUUACAUGCAGUCGAUGGAGCACUGGAGUGGAUCCCUUCGGGGAGGAACACCUUUGACUGAGUGGCGGACGGGUGAGUAACGCGUGGGUAACCUGCCCCAUACAGGGGGAUAACAGCCGGAAACGGCUGCUAAUACCGCAUAUACAUGCGGGGGCGCAUGCCCCUGCAUGGAAAGCUUUGGCGGUAUGGGAUGGGCCCGCGUCUGAUUAGGCAGUUGGCGGGGUAACGGCCCACCAAACCAACGAUCAGUAGCCGGCCUGAGGGGGCGACCGGCCACAUUGGGACUGAGACACGGCCCAAACUCCUACGGGAGGCAGCAGUGGGGAAUAUUGCACAAUGGGGGAAACCCUGAUGCAGCGACGCCGCGUGGGUGAAGAAGUAUUUCGGUAUGUAAAGCCCUAUCAGCAGGGAAGAAGAAUGACGGUACCUGACUAAGAAGCACCGGCUAAAUACGUGCCAGCAGCCGCGGUAAUACGUAUGGUGCAAGCGUUAUCCGGAUUUACUGGGUGUAAAGGGAGCGCAGGCGGCACGCUAAGCCUGAUGUGAAAACCCGCGGCCCAACCGCGGGAGUGCAUUGGGAACUGGCGAGCUAGAGUACCGGAGGGGCAGGCGGAAUUCCUAGUGUAGCGGUGAAAUGCGUAGAUAUUAGGAGGAACACCAGUGGCGAAGGCGGCCUGCUGGACGGAGACUGACGCUGAGGCUCGAAAGCGUGGGGAGCAAACAGGAUUAGAUACCCUGGUAGUCCACGCCGUANACGAUGAAUACUAGGUGUCGGGCCCCAUCGGGGUUCGGUG